UAUAUAUUGCAAUUUUAACUUUCCUCUUUAUUGCCACUAAAUUGUGGUCAACAGACCAUAUUUAUUGAGGUUUUGGUCAUUACAAUAGUUUGAUUGAUAGUUAUUUUUUUUGGUCGGCGCUUGAUUGAUAGUUAUGUGACAUUUUCUAUCUCAGGAUGGCUCCUGUUUUGUUAAAAGAGAUGGGCUAAAGAGGGGCUUACAGAGCAUGGAUGCAUCUGGUUAUCCCAUGGGUGAAGCCAUGACAGGUGAAAAUUACAUGGAAAUUGAUGAAGCUGUAGCAAAAGAGUGGGAGCAUGCACUCCUGCGAACAACGAUGGGCAAAGAGUUUAAUGAGUUAAACAAGCGUUUGGAGCAGAAAGAGGGCUGUCCACACACAUUGAUAUCCAUUAGGAGCUCAGCACUUGUCAGGGGGAAAGUAUGAAGAGUGCUUCUAGUGGUUUGUUUCACACGAUACAUGCAUGGGGCUGUCCACUCACAUUCAUAUCCAUUAGGAUCUCAGCACUGUGUCAGGGAGAAAAUAUGAAAGAGUGCUUCUAAUGGUUUGUUGAAAGACAGAACUGAUUAU